CAACAAUCCGAAGUUAGCUCAGGAAUAAUAUGAUGCUGAGAGAAAAAAACAACAAGCGGUGUAUCAAUCAUGGAAUGCGACGCUACGGAGCAUCGUUGGGAAUAAGCGACUAUGCAUUUUAGGACGUACUUGAUUUCAGACUAAUCCAGAAAAUACGACGAUUCCCGCCAGCGAGCCCGCCAUUUUCAAAAAGUCACAAAACCCCCACGGUAGAAUAAAUCAAACCCAACAACGUACAUGAUAAAAUGUAAAAGCGUAAGAGAAACAAAUUAGAGAUGAACAAGAUCGAAAAAUCUCCAACAAGACAAAUGCCUUCAGUGUCAGGGACGCCAAUGGCCGCCAAUGUCGGUACCGAUGUGACGCUACCCGUCUAUCGUAUGUAGAUGAGAUAAUCUAAAAAGCAUCGAACACUCAUCGUACAGGAAUAACCAACAUAGACGAGGAGUACAAGAAGAAAUGAAUAAACCAAAAGAAACAGCGCGACACGGAGAGGAAAAAAGAGAGAGUGAAACAGAAAGUACGAGCAAGAGAGAAAAAAGUCUUAAAUGAUUUUUCCUGAAUAUGGCGCGAGCCGCGCGGGCUCCUAUCCCUCGCGCAAUUCCGAACCGUCGUGAACUGCAGUUAUUAUAUUACGCGUACGAGAGAAAAUCCAAGUGAAAAAACACUACACGAUCACCAGUAAUGUAUCUUCGUCAGUAGG